UAGGUGGCUAACCUUUUCACUCCUUUAUCCACUCCAUUUCUCUAUCCCCAACCGUCUUCUCUCCAACAAAGAUAGUCUCUCUUUCACCAAAAACCCUAAUCCCCAAAUCCCAGUUUCACCCAAAAUUCAAUAUAAUAAGCCAUUUAUCCGAUGAGAUAUAUAACAAGGGCUAAAUGAACAUAUGCCAAUCGGAGAAAAGGAAGCUUAAAUCAAUAUAACAUAUUAAACCAUUUAUCGGCGGUCCGUUUCAAGGUGUCUGAAUGGUGGUAAUUCGGUUGUUGUUGUUUCUGGUGGUGGUGAUAGUGUGAAUUUAUUCUAAGAGGCGUAGGAGGUCUGUGUCUAAGAGAAAUGGCGGUGAUGAUGCUGGUAGUGCAGCUAGGGUUGUUUCGGAUAGGGAUUGAGGAAAAGGCGGUCUAUUUUGGUUGUUCAGCGUCAGAUUAGUGGCUCCGAGCCGAGUGGCAGGGGAUUCAUGUGGCUGGAGGUGGGAAUGGAAGAAGGCGGCUUUGGAUGGGAAUGAGUCUAGGGAGCUGCUGCAGUUUGUGAGCGUAGUGGGGUUUUGUGGGUCACAUCGGGCCGAGAUAGAUGGGUAGGGGUGAGCAUAAGUAGGUCCGACCAGACUAGAACCCGAUAACCGAACCGAAUAGCAUCCGAAACCGACCCGAAUAGAGUAAUUCGGGUGUAGAAAAAGCUCUGUAUUUGCCCAUAAAUUGGUCAAAUCUGAUAUCAUACUACAUUCUCAGUUAUGGUUUCGUCGAAUCCGUGUGCUUUCGGAAAGAUUUCGAUCUCUACGGUCUCCUAGGCGUCGAUAGUUCUUCCGAUCAUCGGCGAUUAAACACACUUACCGGUUUCUGCAGAAGAAAUGUCAUCCGGAUAUAGCUGGUUUGGCUGGACACGAUAUGGCUAUUGUUCUCAAUGAAGCUUUUGCUGUUUUAUCUGAUCCUCUUUCAUGUUUCUCGUAUGAUAAGGAGCAAGCUAAGGUCGCAGAUUUCAAAGGGUAUACAGGGAAACCUAUCUACUCAGUAUGGUAUGGAUCCGAGAGUGAGAAUAGAGCUGUUUUUGUUGAUGAAGUUAAAUGGGUUGGCUGCUUAAAAUGCGCCUUAAUGGCCGAAAAGACAUUCGCAAUCCAAUCUGUUUACAGUAGAGCUCGGGUCAUAGCUCAAUGGGGUGACCCUGAAAAUAAAAUUCACGAGGCCAUAGAAGCGUGCCCUGUUAAUUGCAUCUCGUAAGGAAGUCUAUACAAAAACCAUUUUAUUUUGGGUUUGCUCAAAUGAAUGUCUGUUUUGCGGGAGGUAUCCAGAAUUAAUCGAUCACAGAUCUUUGUGAGGUGCGGGUUUGCUCAGUUGGUGUGGAAAAGGGGUGGCUCAAUAGUGCAAGGUGCAGCCUGUAUUUGCUUUUCGGACCCGGGAUAUCUUGGAUCUUCACAAUACAUGAGCGGGCCGGAGAAGUUCAGCAAAGUGUAUACCAUCACAUUAUUGAGCAGUAACGAUGAUAGAGAUUGUUAGGGUUUUGAACUGCUGCUGCAGGCUAGCGAUGAUAGAGAUUGUGUUUUAAGAAAAUGUAUAUUUGAUUGUGAGACCCUUUUUAGUUGUGCAUCAUCUUGCUGGUUGAUAUAUGAGCUUUUGUUGAUUGUUAAAAGCUAUUAGUUUAAGAUGUGUGUGAUGUGAAGAUGAAUUAAUGAGAAUUACCAGGUUUGACCUUCUGAAAGUCACAAAAGGCAUGCCUUCUAUGUGGUCU